CCCGCUGAACUUAAGCAUAUCAAUAAGCGGAGGAAAAGAAACCAACAGGGAUUGCCCCAGUAACGGCGAGUGAAGCGGCAGCAGCUCAAAUUUGAAAUCUGGGGUCCCCCGACCCCCGAGUUGUAAUUUGGAGAGGCGUCUUCGGGGGGGAGCGCCGGCCUAUGUUCCUUGGAACAGGACGUCGCAGAGGGUGAGAAUCCCGUGCCAGGCCGGCUGCCUCCUCCCGUGUGAAGUGCCUUCGACGAGUCGAGUUGUUUGGGAAUGCAGCUCCAAGUGGGUGGUAAAUUUCAUCUAAAGCUAAAUACCGGCGGGAGACCGAUAGCGCACAAGUAGAGUGAUCGAAAGAUGAAAAGCACUUUGAAAAUAGAGUCAAAAAGUACGUGAAAUUGUUGAAAGGGAAGCGCUUGAGACCAGACUCGGGCCCGGGCAAACAUCGAGCCCCUCGGGGCCGUGCAAUUGCCUGGGCCCGGGCCAGCAUCAGUUGGCGUGGCGGGACAAAGGCGCGGGGAAUGUGGCUCCCCUCGGGGAGUGUUAUCAGGCCCGCGCUCAAUGCCGCCGACGCCGACUGAGGACAGCGCCUCGGCCUGGAUGCUGGCUUAAUGGCCUUCAGCGACCCGUCUUGAAACACGG
rnacentral:rRNA from 1 species